GAUGUCUACUUUUUACUGUUGAUGUAUCAGUUGUGUACAGUCAUGUACCCAUGCAUAUAUACUUCCAAAAACUCCUUAAGUACCCAUGUAUAUAUACUUCCAAAAACUCCUUAAGUACCCAUGUAUAUAUACUUCCAAAAGCUCCUUAAGUACCCAUGUAUAUACUUGCACAGACUCGUUAUAAUACCCAUCUAUAUAUUCUUCGACAGCCGAUGAUUCGUUACGCACUUUGUUGCUAUGAACUAACACAAAUACUAUUCACCCUUUCUAUGCACUAACUUUUGCUGUAUGUUUGCAUGUGUACUAAUUCAUUAUGAUACAAGUCAAGGUUUCCUUAUCAGUCUUGAAACACAUCCUUUUCUGUACAUUUGUUUGCUUAUUUUCUAUCUGCAUAAUCCUUCCAGGUGUGAUGUCGAAUGCUGCUGUUCAGGAUGGAUAUGAGUGCAUUGUGGUCAACUCUCGUGAACACGUUCUUGUUUCUAGUGUAAGAAGGAGGGAAUGCAAGUAUUGCCGCCGAAAGAAGAUUGAGUCGAAAAGCAUUUGGCCAGUACAAAGCAAGUACAAAUGCAAUACUUGUGACGUAAAUCUGUGUUCACACAAAAAGACUGGAAGGUCUUGUUUUUACAUGUAUCACAAGGAGUAUUGUCAGUCUCAAACUUAAUAGUUCAGGGUACGUCUGGAUGGGAUCACUUUU
rnacentral:lncRNA from 1 species